GAUGAAGAACGUAGCGAAAUGCGAUACUUGGUGUGAAUUGCAGAAUCCCGUGAACCAUCGAGUCUUUGAACGCAAGUUGCGCCUCAAGCCAUUAGGUUGAGGGCACGUCUGCCUGGGCGUCACAUAUCGUUGCCUGAUGCCAGUUUCCUCGUGAUGGGUGACUGUGCAGGGCGAAUGAUGGCUUCCCGUGAGCAUUGUUGCCUCAUGGUUGGUUGAAAAUUGAGUCCUUGGUAGGGAGCGCCGUGAUAGAUGGUGGUUGAGUGACGAACGAGACCCAAUCAUGUGAGACCCCUACCGAAUUUGGCCUUCAUGACCCACAUGCGUCUUUGGAACGCUCAUGACGAGACCUCAGGUCAGGCGGGGCUACCCGCUGAGUCUAAGCAUAUCAAUAAGCGGAGGA
rnacentral:misc_RNA from 1 species